rnacentral:lncRNA from 1 species
AAAAGGAAAAUGACUAAUUUGAACGCGCGAAUAACAGGGAAGGACUGAAAGGGUAAUAAUCUCCUCCCUCCAAAACGCGUAGGUUCAAUAGGGACUAAAUUGGAAACCAAGACAAAUUAAUGGGGCCAAAUUAAAAAAAAUGGAAGAACUUGAUUGUAAAAAAAAAGAAAAAAUUGGAAGGGAUAAAAUUAGCCCUUUCGACAAAAACACG